rnacentral:lncRNA from 1 species
GUUGGCCCGGAGCAGCUGCUGGGCACAGCCCCACCUCAUGGCUGAGUACGAAUGGCCGUUUGCUUGGGCUUUGAAGACACUCCUGCCUGUCUCCUGCACAUGGCUGUGGGAAGGUGUGGGCUUGGCCCUAGGUGGCCCUGGCUGUCUCAGAGGGCCCCAGGCACCUUGCCUGUCCUGUGGGUCCAUCCUCCUCUAAGCCUUCGUGUCCUCUUUAUCUAGCCAGGUUGGGAACAACCAGAGGGGAGAGGUGUGAGGACUUGCAUGGUCCUGCCAGGGAGGGAGGCCAUGUGCUUGCCCAUGCCCAGGCUCAGAGCCCACUACAGGGCCAACCUGGCAGCAGGGGAGCCUGGGCAGUGCCAUCCCUGUGUCCAGGACCCCCCCCAGAGUCCCCCCACCCUGCACAGAACCUCUGGGCCCAACCCUUGCCCAGCAGCCAUUCCUGAGGGGAGCUAAGACCAAGUGCUCCCGAGGGGACCAGCGGCCCGUGUGCACCCUCUGGGACAGCCCUGGGCUGGGCCGGGAGAAGCUGGGCAGAGGCCUUUGGAGCCGGGCCUCCUGACCACAGCUGGGGACGGCUGUCAC